rnacentral:rRNA from 1 species
UACGUAGGGUGCAAGCGUUAAUCGGAAUUACUGGGCGUAAAGGGCGCGUAGGCGGCCUGCUAAGUCGAACGUGAAAUCCCUGGGCUCAACCCAGGAACUGCGUCCGAUACUGGUUGGCUUGAAUCCGGGAGAGGGAUGCGGAAUUCCAGGUGUAGCGGUGAAAUGCGUAGAUAUCUGGAGGAACACCGGUGGCGAAGGCGGCAUCCUGGACCGGCAUUGACGCUGAGGCGCGAAAGCCAGGGGAGCAAACGGG